ensembl:snRNA U6 U6 spliceosomal RNA
GUGCUCACUUCCACAGCACAUAUACUAAAAUUGGAAUGAUACAGAGUAGAUUAGUAUGGCCCCUGUACAAGGACGACCUGCAAAUUCGUGAUAUGUUCCAUAUUUUU